GCUUGGGCGGGGCGGGAGGCGGAGGCGCCGCGUAGGCCGGGGAGGCCGGCCCGGCCCGGCUGGGAACUCGAGCCCCAUGAGCCGCCGCCUCCCCCAACGAUGUUCCCCUCCCGGAGGAAAACGGCACAGCUGCCCUGGGAGGACGGCAGCAAGCCCUCUGCUGUAUGACUCGUGCUAGAGCCACAGCUGUGAAUCUGAUUACCUGUGAAGAAGACAAGCAUGGACACAGGUCCAGGUUGAUCCCCAGCGGCCUCCCCCGGAAAUGCUCCGUCUUCCACCUCUUUGUUGCCUGUCUCUUACUGGGCUUCCUCUCCCUGCUCUGGCUGCAGCUCAGCUGCUCUGGGGACAUGGCCCGGGCAGCCAGGGGACAAGGACAGGAGACCCCGGGCCCAUCCCGGGCCUGCCCACCAGAGCCACCCCCUGAGCACUGGGAAGAAGAUGAAUCAUGGGGCCCCCACCGCCUGGCAGUGCUGGUGCCCUUUCGAGAACGCUUCGAGGAGCUCCUGGUCUUUGUGCCCCACAUGCACCGCUUCCUGAGCAGGAAGAAGAUCCAGCACCACAUCUAUGUGCUCAACCAGGUGGAUCAUUUCAGCCUCGGUGCCCUGCACAGGUUCAACCGGGCAGCACUCAUCAACGCGGGCUUUCUGGAGAGCAGCAACAGCACAGACUACAUCGCCAUGCACGACGUGGACCUGCUCCCUCUCAAUGAGGAGCUGGACUAUGGCUUCCCAGAGACCGGGCCCUUCCACGUGGCCUCCCCGGAGCUCCACCCGCUCUACCACUACAAGACCUACGUCGGUGGCAUCCUGCUGCUUUCCAAGCAGCACUACCAGCUGUGCAACGGGAUGUCCAACCGCUUCUGGGGCUGGGGCCGUGAGGACGACGAGUUCUACCGGCGCAUCAAAGGAGCCGGGCUCCAGCUUUUCCGCCCCUCGGGAAUCACAACUGGGUACAAGACAUUUCGCCACCUGCAUGACCCAGCCUGGAGGAAGAGGGACCAGAAGCGCAUCGCGGCUCAAAAACAGGAGCAGUUCAGGGUGGACCGGGAGGGAGGCCUGAGCACCGUGAAGUACCGCGUGGAUUCCCGUACAGCCCUGUCUGUGGGUGGGGCCCCCUGCACUGUUCUUAACAUCAUGUUGGACUGUGACAAGGCUGCCACCCCCUGGUGCACAUUCAGCUGAGUUGGCUGGACAGCAAGGAAGCCUGUGCCUACAGGGCAUACUGCUACUCAAGCCCAGGACAAAGCCUCAGGCCCUGGGCCCAGCUCCAAUAGGACGUGGAGUGGCCUGAAUCAGUGGACAGCAAGCCACGUGUUUGCAGCAGCCCGGCCCCCAGAGGCAGGCUUGAGCCAGGAGAGGACACACGCAGGGUGCCUGGGACGCUGCCAGCAAUAAACAGUGAUGGAGAGAGGCUGGGACAUGGCUUCCAACUGAGACUCUCCACCCUGCCUUCCUGCUUGCCCUGCCCUACCCUCCUUUGUGUGCUGAGAUCUGCAAGAUCUUGUUCCUUCUCCUGGACUGCCAGGCCACUGAUGUGGGUGGCCAGGGCCAUCAGGAGGGUUAAAACUGCAGAGACCAGUGUGCAAGCCCCACUUAAAGGGAGCAGCUGAGACCAGCUCUAGCUGGUUGUCACCCUGAAGGAGUGUGGGCCUGGUGUUGCCAGAUCUUCUGAUUUCUCAAAAGAAAGUAGAAUUCUGGAUUCUUGAGUGAAAUUGGUUAAUUUUUAAAUGAUAGCAACUAAUUCAAACUUUUAACAAGUAUGGCAAGCCAAACCAAAUGUGUUUUGAACCACCAGUUUGUCACCUGUGGCUGAGGAGAAGGGGAUGGGGCAAAAGAUGACGCUUCUCUUAGUUAUAAGCUGGCAAGGAGUUGGGGCAGGGCUAGGGAAGACGAGGCCAGGGGAAGCUCAGGUGGGAGAGAACCCCAAGGCACAAGGUCCCUACUCCCUCCCUCAGCACUCCAGGCUUUGCUGCCCUUCUGGACAGCCUGACCACUGCCAGGCUCUGGUGGGCUCCGACUGGAAGGGGUGCUUCAUCCUGCCUCACUGAGAUGGACAGAAAUAGAUCACAGGACUGAACUGAGGGUAGGCAGGCUGCAUCUGCAAAGACUCACUGGGUCAUGGCUCAGGGAGGGAAGACCACGUUUCUGAGGCGGGAGGAAGAUGAGAAGUAGGAGAACCCCUCGAGUAUUCCCAAAGCACGAGGGGAGAUUACCAGUGGUCACCAAAUGCCACAGAGAGGUGAGGGAGGGGAGCCAAGGGAGCUGGUGGAACUGGGGAGUCAUCUUGGAGGAACCAUCUGGAGGUAAGCCCAGGGCCAGUGAGAGAGGGAAGUGAUGGGCCCUGAAAGGUAAAUCACUCCUUCAGGGCAUUUGACUGCCAAAGAUUUGGGGCAGAAGUCAGAGGAGACUGGGACCAGUUAAGGUUAGUUUGUUUAACAAUAAAUAGGACACCUGAAGUGCAAGAGGAAGGACUGAGGUCUCCGAUUUCAGGAGGGUAGAAUUCAGCAGCUCUGCUCCAAAAAGACUCCUCCAAGGAUGAUCUUAGGGCUGCUGUGUGCAGUUGUGUGGGUUGUGCACUAUACAACCUGAGCAUAAACCAAGAGGUUUAAGCAAAGAUGAGUGGAGGGAGUGAAGAGCUUCAGGUUCCAUGUAACUAUUCAAACUUAUAAGAGAGGGUCCUUGGGAUCCUAAAUUGACCUCUCCCAGCAGUUCAGUUUUACUCUCUAUGGUGAAGGGCAAACAGACCUUGAUUACAGUGCAAGGGUAUUCAAGGGACUUUCUCAACUUGAGGCCCAGGAGAGGGGAAAGGGGAAUGGUGCACCUUCUGUAUGCUCAUCUCCUGGACAACCCUGACUAUCAUCUUGGACUUAGAAAACACGAAGCCUCUUGGAGUUGGUGGGAGUAGAUGUGACAACGCCUCCAGCUCUGUACUCACCUGAAUUUCAGGACCAAGCACAGGAGGCUUCUAGAAAGAAGCUGCAGGAGAGCCCAGAAGCUUCAGACAAGAUACAAAGCAAGGAGUACUGGGGGCCAGCAGGAAUGGCUGCCCUGCGGACACUGACAGGUUAUCCAAGGGCUCCCAAGCUACAGGACAGGCCUACUCCACUUUGGGAAGAAAUCUUGUUACUGGGUCUGGAGCAGGGCCAGUACCAGUCCUCCCAGAGGUUAAGGAAUCUUUAGGAAGAGCAGCCAGGCAAGUUUGAGAUGGCAGAAUCCCCCAGAACCCACAAACCAUACAGAGAUGAGAUGGUGGGUCUAUUCUUCAGUAUUGGUUGGGCUUGUUACUUUCACUAGAGAGCCAGCUGCCAGUUGGAGGGACUCCCUGAUGCCAUGUCACAGGUCCCAUCACCUCAUGCCGUAGCUGUGUGAGAGCAGUUCUUCUACACACCCAGAGGUAAAUUGGAGGCUUAGCUCUGGACUGAACUGGUUCUUCUGGACCUUCCCAUGCUCUUCUGGGUACAUUUCUCCAUCCAGCCUACAGUUCAAGUGUGUAGUGGAGUUUGAUGGCAGAAGAGGAAAAGGAACCCUAUGAGAUACUGUGGUCAGCCUUGAGAGUGAGUAAAUGAGGUGUAAUAACCAGGUGUAAUGUCUGGGUUAAUCCAGAGAAACAGAAUCAAUAGGAGAUAUAUAUAUGUGGAAUUGACUCAUGUAAUUAUGGAAGCAGGCAAGUCCCAAGAUCUGAAGGGUGAGUCAGCAAGUUGGAGACUCAGGAGAGUCAAUUCUUUUGUUUCAUUCUGAGUUUGAAGGCCUGAGAACCAGCAAAGCCAAUGUUGGAGUUCCAGUCCAAAGGCUGGCAGGCUCAAGACCCAGGAAGAGCCAAUGUUUCAGUUCUAGUCUGCAGGCAGGAAAAA